GUCAUAUGCUUGUCUCAAAGAUUAAGCCAUGCAUGUCUCAGUACAAGCCAAAUUAAGGUGAAACCGCGAAAGGCUCAUUAAAUCAGUUAUGGUUCCUUAGAUCGUACCCACAAUUACUUGGAUAACUGUGGUAAUUCUAGAGCUAAUACAUGCAAACAGAGCUCCGACCGGAGACGGAAGGAGUGCUUUUAUUAGAUCAAAACCAAUCGGUGGCGGGUUCGCGCUCGUCAUCGUACAACUUGGUGACUCUGAAUAACUUUACGCUGAUCGCACGGUCAUCGCACCGGCGACGCAUCUUUCAAAUGUCUGCCUUAUCAACUGUCGAUGGUAGGUUCUGCGCCUACCAUGGUUGUAACGGGUAACGGGGAAUCAGGGUUCGAUUCCGGAGAGGGAGCCUGAGAAACGGCUACCACAUCCAAGGAAGGCAGCAGGCGCGCAAAUUACCCACUCCCGGCACGGGGAGGUAGUGACGAAAAAUAACGAUACGGGACUCAUCCGAGGCCCCGUAAUCGGAAUGAGUACACUCUAAACCCUUUAACGAGGAUCAAUUGGAGGGCAAGUCUGGUGCCAGCAGCCGCGGUAAUUCCAGCUCCAAUAGCGUAUAUUAAAGUU
rnacentral:rRNA from 1 species